AUCAUUAUUAUCGAGGUGAAGUUUUUUAACUCUACAACAGUUUUUAAGAUGUUGGGUUUUAAAUUUUCGCAUAGAAUUGAGGUUAAUGGCUUUGUAGGUGACGUCUGGAUUCUUUGGAAAGAGAAUGUGCAGGGGACUAUUCUCCAUCAUCAUCCACAGUUUGUCCAUUAACAGAGUACUCUUGGAAAUGGGCAUCGAGGGUUUCUGUGCACUUUUGUUUAUGCAAACCCUCAACCUAUGCAGAGGUGGAUGUUGUGGGGUGCUUUUACAGUAAGUUUAAUUUACUCAAAUAAAA
rnacentral:lncRNA from 1 species